GAUCCUCAAGUUUGCACCAAAGAGCGUGGCAUUCUCUUUUGUGGGGAUGCUGUGCCGGACUCAACUUGCAGCCAUGCACUACAAUGAAAAUAGCGGAAGACCACAAGCAACAACAGCUGCAGGGGAGCUCCGAUGGCACAUGCAGUAUCCACGCUACAGAAGAGGAGAGUACACAGUACGACUUCUGAAAAGAAAUCCCACAUUUGAAUAUGUCUACAGAUUGCAGGAUCUGCUUUUUGAAAGUGUGUUGGAGCAGCCACAACUGUUUCAGGAAUCUCUAAAAGGACUGAAAGUUCCUGACCACCUCUGCACCCAGUUUCAAAGACCUGAAAAGAGUGAAGCUGUUGCACAACACACGUCACGAUUUAGA